CAGCAUAAUACCAGCAAAAUUAGCAGAACACAUGGGAGCAGGAGAUUGAUCACUAGAAUCCCUUGAGAGAGUCUGUUGAAUCAAAUUCACAAUCUGAUCACAUUGCUGUCUGCUCAACCCUGGUAUCACAGGUUGACUGGCAAUAGGACCCCCAAGAGGAACAGACAGAUUUGAAUUCCCAUUAUCAUCAGACACACAAUCAGGGCCAGUAGAAACAUGAGCAGCUGCAGAUUUCCUUCCCUUGGUGUAAGUAUUGUUUUGAGGAAAACCAUUGACUGGCAAUAGGAUCCCCAAGAGGAACAAACAAAUUAGAAUUCCCAUUAUCAUCAGACACACAAUUAGGGCCAGUAGAAACAUGAGCAGCUGCAGAUUUCCUUCCCUUGGUGUAAUCAUUGUUUUGAGGAAAACCAUGGAGCUUGUAACACUUAUCAAUUAAGUUUCCAGACUUCUUGCAAUAUCUGCAGAAUAAGUUUCCUCUAUUUUGCUCAAAGUUGACUCUGGGNNNN
rnacentral:lncRNA from 1 species